rnacentral:lncRNA from 1 species
GAAAAUCAAAUAUUAUGAAAUAUUUAGAUCCUCUCGUAAAUAGAAAAGUGGUUGAGGGAGCCAAAAGAAUAAACAAACAAACAAUGCGGCUAAGAAACAUAGUUAUGAGAAGUUUGAGAACAUAAAAUAAAAUCGAUCACGAGAAAAAGGAAAUAGAGAGAAUCACGUCAUGCCCAUACUCUCGUAUUCAGGUAUUUUCUCUCUCUACAUAUAUAUACAUAUGCAAUAUAUGUGUUUCGUGUGUGUGGUUACUAGUUAUGCAUCUACAUUAAUUUGUAUACAAUUUCGUUUAUUUGCAAUUGAUUUGACUUCCCUUGUGAUUUUUCAUGGUAUUUAAUCAUGACUUUUGGAGGUGUAUUGAAUUAUUUUUAAGCCAAAUAAUUCGUGAUUGGGUAUUAAGGAAUGAGAUAAUGGGGAAUCUAGGUAUCUGCUUCGUUUAGUUGCAAUUCUACUGGUUAUUGGGGGUAUGCUUGCCAGUUUUGACUCUUUUUUGGAUGUGGCACUAUCUAUGAGAGGUAAAAACCAGUACCUACCUUUAUUUUUAUUAUUAUUAUUUUUUUUGGAUGUAGUGUAAUUUGGAUUGUGGAUCUCAACCCACCAAAUUAGUGGUUUCUGGCUGUUUUUCAAAAUUUCUUUCAACUUUCUUCUAAUAUUUAUAUAAUUAUUUCCAAAUCUACCUAAAAAGGAAUGAAGCCUAUACAAAAAGAAGAGAAUUCCUUUUCAAAUAAUAUAUUUGUUUUACUUCAUCUUAUAAUCCAAUAGAAAAUGAUUGUCAUGUAAGAGCUUAUUCAAAGCGGUCUUGCUAUACGUAUGUGGACGUUAACAUGCCCGUGUACACUUCCCUCAUAAGAGGGAGAGCCCACGCUGGGCGUUGUAGUCCUCCUUUGUAAGAGGAGUGUACACCGGCAUGUCAACGUCCGUGUACAAAUAGUAUAAUUAUAUUCAAAGCUACAAUAAUAAGUCCAUAGGUUACUCCAUACACAAUAUUAAAUGAUUGGGUAAACUAUGUAAAAUCAUAUUGAAUUGUACGGAGAAAGAUACACAUUUACUUCGUAUUGUUUACACAUAUCUAAUUUUUUUAUGCAUGUAUUUUUAGAACCGUUGUAUAAUAAACUCAAGUAUGAGUCGGAAUGUUUUACAAGCCGAACUAAAACCCACCCAAAAUCAGACCCCUCACAUGUACCUGAAACCGGUACUUUAAAAACCCCAUAGGGGUUUUAUCGUUGAAUACUUUCCGUUGGAUUUCUUUAGUUGUAGGAGCUUAUGCAGAUGAUUUUUUUUGUUCUAUUAUAUGUGAUGUUAUGACAAAAGAUACUGAUUAAUUUAAUAAUAUACAUGUUUUUGUGUGUGUAUCAGUAUGUCACUUAGCUAAUUAGCAUUAAAAUUUCUUCGGAAUUUCAAAAAUCUGUUUCAUGUAGCUUGGUGAGUAAAUUUUGAAUCAUUAGUAUAUUAAGUAAUAAAUACGGUGAUUGUUUGAAAGGUCAAAUUUCUUUAUCUGUGUUCUUCUGGGUUUCUUAGAUAAACUAUCGAGAUUCAAAUGAUUUUAGUUUUCAAUAAUGGAUGGGCAUUCUAAUUUGUAGACCUUACUCCCUAAGAUAUUAAAUUGACUAUCAACCAAUGAGAUUUUAAAAUUGAACAUAGUCUUUUGUUUUGCAUGAUUGAUUGUAUCAAUUAACAGAGUUUUCUUACUGAAGGUUUUUCAGUGAUUCUAUAAACAGAUAUUUCUAUUGUUUAAUGUUAAACUUUUUGUGAAAUUGGAGGCUCUUAUUAUUGUGUUACUUCCUUAUGCAUGCGUGUCUUUGUUGAUUUCAAUGGUAAGAGUUUGAUAUGAUUUGUGAUUUUAAUUUAUCUUGUUAUAUGGUAGCUUGUUGAUAUUACUUUUGGCUUAGCUUGAUAGUGAAUGCNUUUUUUUUAUAUUUUUAAUGGCUAAUCGGGUGCAAGGUAUCUUUUGUAAGAGAAGAGAGGUAGUUUUUUUUUUUUUUUUUUUUUAUGGGAUACUUAAAAUUGGUAAUUUUGAAGAAGAUAACGGAGAACUAAGUCAAGGCUAUAAUAGCAAUACAGAAAUUUGACAUCAAGUAGUACUUGCAAUUAUGGGAUCCUAACUAAUUUAUGAAAAAAGUACUGGGAAUUCCUCUAUUAUACUAUACAUCAGGAAACUUCCCAGAAUAGAUGGUUGUUAACUUCAGCGGAGAUACAGUCCUGCUUAAAAGUUCAACGUAAAAUAGAAGUUCAACGAAAAAUAGAGUAAUUCUUCUUAAACGGGAACACAGACAACAUGCCAAUAGAGGGUGCCACAUCGCCCCCUGUUUGGACAGGUCCCUGUCCAAGUAGCAGGGCCCGAAAAAUAAGCCAAAAAAUACCAUCUUCACGAAACAGAUUCCAUCUGUUACUAUUCAUCGGUACGGAAGAGUAUCUGCUGAUGUCGUACGCUCAAGAACUCUUCCUUGAUCAGUUUUGUACUUUAAAGAGUAUUCUACUCCAGAAUCACCUACAACAUAUAGUCACUAUUAGGGAAAUCGGGUCUUUUUUUUUACAACAGGAAAAACAAAAUAAAAUAAAAACUUUAGCAUGUAAAUAUUUGAUUACAAUCUAACUCAUAGUAGAAUCAGUUGACAAACGAUCAGGUGAUGCGCCCCAUUUCUUGUCUGCAUUGGCAAAAGAUUGGCUAAAGAUAAUAAUUACUUGGUGUGGUUGAAUGAUGCCCUUGGUUCUUCGAUUUCAUUUUAGGGUGGUGUUAUUUCUUAGUUGAAUUCUGGUUGGCUAUAGUCAUUUACAGCGUUUUGAUGUUUUUUAUUGAUUAAUUUACCAAUUUAUGUGUUAUUGGCAGGCUAUAGUUUCUUCUAGAAGGGAUUAGGGUUUGUUUGCCAAUUGAACUUGGGCUGGUAAAGAAAAUGACCAUGAAUCAGCGGAAUAUAAUUGAUUUAGAACAAGGAUGGGACUUUAUGUGAAAAGGGAUUACAAAGCU